rnacentral:rRNA from 1 species
UCGCGAAACCUUUGCAAUAAGCGAAAGCUUGACAGGGCUAUCCCGAGUGCCAUCCGCUGAGGAAGGCUUUUACCCAGUCUAGAACGCUGGGGGGAAUAAGGAGAGGGCAAGUCUGGUGUCAGCCGCCGCGGUAAUACCAGCUCUCCGAGUGGUGUGGAUGUUUAUUGGGCCUAAAGCAUCCGUAGCUGGCUAGGUAAGUCCCUUGUUAAAUCCACCGAAUUAAUCGUUGGAUCGCGGGGGAUACUGCUUGGCUAGGGGACGAGAGAGGCAGACGGUAUUUUCGGGGUAGGGGUGAAAUCCUAUAAUCCCGGGAAGACCACCAGUGGCGAAGGCUGUCUGCUAGAACGCGCCCGACGGUGAGGGAUGAAAGCUGGGGGAGCGAACCGGAUUAGAUACCCGGGUAGUCCCAGCUGUAAACGAUGCAGACUAGGUGUUUGAACGGCCACGUGCCGUUCUAGUGCCGCAGGGAAGCUGUUAAGUCUGCCGCCUGGGGAGUACGAUCGCAAGAUUGAAACUUAAAGGAAUUGGCGGGGGAGCACCACAAGGGGUGAAGCUUGCGGUUU